CAGAAACUUUGUGAUAAUUUCUGUUCCUCCAAAAAGAAUAAGGAAUAUUUCAUGAACAGAAGUAAAGCAGAUUACAAUGUUUUUCAGUAAUUUCCUUAUUCGCUAAGUGUCUCUAACACAACUGUGAAUGUCUUUCAAAGAUUUGAUUUCACUAACCUGGCAAACUUUAGCAAAUCCAGUGCAUCAGCCCAGUGCCUUAUGAACACAACUUAAUUUCCAAGUUCGCCCAAACUUCUGUUAAUGGCAUAGAAGCCAGCCAACCAGAUUGGAAUGGACUAGCUUGUUUUAGACAGCAUUUGGCAGAUAUGUGGCAGUCAGACCGUGGGUGGUCUGUGGGCAUUUAGUCUAAAACUGAAACUACACUUUGUGAGACCCUAUGUUCAUGAAGUAAAUAUUAUCUAGAAGAGUGGAACAGCUGUCAAAAAAAAUAAAAAAACACUUGAAAAUUGUUGUUUGGAAAGUUGUCAUGGCACAAAUAAAAAGGCUAUCGACCUUGUUGGAAACUCAGAAGCGUAGACCAGGAGACUUUUGGGUAAUCUUCUGCAGAAUUCUUUAUUGAGAACGCGCUGGAUGGCGCUGCAGUCAUCAAAAGUCUCACCAAAGCAGUGAUAUUUUGGAGUUUAUAUACAUUUCAAGGGGGAGGGAUACAUAGAGUUGGAGACAAUUUAAACAAAGCAAGCAAAUGGAAUCAGGAAAAUGCCAGACACUGGCAUUUUCCCAGCCUUGAUCUCAUCAGCAUAACAGUGUCAUUUAAAUACAGAGGUGCCUGACAGUAUCACCCAUACCUUCACAUUAUCAUAGAAACAAAGGCACAGCUGUGCCUUGAUCUUAAGAAGCCAGAUGGUCAGGAAGAGCAAACAAAAGGUCAAUAUCUCAGAAACCUGGGCUGUUUGACUUGAUCAUCUCAGAAUGUCAUCAUCUUAACCUCAAAAUGUAAAAACACAAUGUACAUAAUAUUACAUUGGAACCUAGAUUUAACAUUUUAUAAAUCUGUAAUCCCACAACCUAGAACUACAUAGAGAAACAGGAAGUAUAUUUAUUAGGCCUAAAGGGAACAGGGAGGUGAUAUUCUAAAGGUUGACUUUUUCACACAGUCAUGUUCCGCUGGAACUAGGUAGUACUAAUUAUAGUAAGUAUAAAAUUUUGUCAUGUGGCAAGACAAGAUGAAGAAGAAAUGCAAAAGUGCAAUUUGACAAUACUUAAACAAACACUAGACUGGAGAGCCAUGAGCAUCUGCUCACCAAAUCACUCACAUUUCUUUCAGUGAUCACCUAAUGCAUAUAUAGUGGUGGAACUAUGAUGUCAUUUU
ensembl:lncRNA